GACGAACGCUGGCGGCGUGCUUAACACAUGCAAGUCGAACGGACAGACAGAGAGCUUGCUCUCUUGAAGUUAGUGGCGAACGGGUGAGUAACGCGUAAUCAACCUGCCCUUCAGAGGGGGAUAACAACGGGAAACCGUUGCUAAUACCGCGUACGAUUCAUGAACGGCAUCGUUUAUGAAUGAAAGGUGGCCUCUAUGUAUAAGCUAUCGCUGAAGGAGGGGAUUGCGUCUGAUUAGCUAGUUGGAGGGGUAACGGCCCACCAAGGCAAUGAUAAGUAGCCGGUCUGAGAGGAUGAACGGCCACAUUGGGACUGAGACACGGCCCAAACUCCUACGGGAGGCAGCAGUGGGGAAUCUUCCGCAAUGGACGAAAGUCUGACGGAGCAACGCCGCAUGAGUGAUGAAGGUCUUCGGAUUGUAAAGCUCUGUUAAUCGGGACGAAAGAGUUCUGCGUGAAUAAUGCAGAAAAGUGACGGUACCGGAAUAGAAAGCCACGGCUAACUACGUGCCAGCCGCCGCGGUAA
rnacentral:rRNA from 1 species